UCUACCAGAGGAUAGUAGUUACUCCAUUGGUCUUAGGCG
rnacentral:tRNA from 1 species